AUUGAACGCUGGCGGCAGGCCUAACACAUGCAAGUCGAGCGGAUGAAGGGAGCUUGCUCCUGGAUUCAGCGGCGGACGGGUGAGUAAUGCCUAGGAAUCUGCCUGGUAGUGGGGGAUAACGUCCGGAAACGGGCGCUAAUACCGCAUACGUCCUGAGGGAGAAAGUGGGGGAUCUUCGGACCUCACGCUAUCAGUUGAGCCUAGGUCGGAUUAGCUAGUUGGUGGGGUAAAGGCCUACCAAGGCGACGAUCCGUAACUGGUCUGAGAGGAUGAUCAGUCACAUUGGAACUGAGACAAGGUCCAGACUCCUAAGGGAGGCAGCAGGGGGGAAUAUUAGACAAUGGGCGAAAGCCUGAUCCAGCCAUGCCGCGUGUGUGAAGAAGGUCUUCGGAUUGUAAAGCACUUUAAGUAGGGAGGAAGGGCAGUAAGUUAAUACCUGGCUGUUUUGACGUUACCAACAGAAUAAGCACCGGCUAACUUCGUG
rnacentral:rRNA from 1 species